GAUGAACGCUGGCGGCGUGCCUAAUACAUGCAAGUCGAGCGAACAGACGAGGAGCUUGCUCCUCUGACGUUAGCGGCGGACGGGUGAGUAACACGUGGCUAACCUACCUAUAAGACUGGGAUCACUUCGGGAAACCGAAGCUAAUACCGGAUAAUAUAUUGAACCGCAGGGUUCAUUAGUGAAAGACGGUUUUGCUGUCACUUAUAGAUGGUUCCGCGCCGCAUUAGCUAGUUGGUAAGGUAACGGCUUACCAAGGCAACGAUGCGUGGCCGACCUGAGAGGGUGAUCGGCCACACUGGAACUGAGACACGGUCCAGACUCCUACGGGAGGCAGCAGUAGGGAAUCUUCCGCAAUGGGCGAAAGCUUGACGCAGCAACGCCGCGUGAGUGAUGAAGGUCUUCGGAUCGUAAAGCUCUGUUAUUUGGGAAGAACAAAUGUGUAAGAAACUAUGCACGUCUUGACGGUACCUAAUCAGAAAGCCACGGCUAACUACGUG
rnacentral:rRNA from 1 species